GGAAAACUAUGUUGGGCCAACGUCAUUUUGCUCAUCGGCCCUCAGUUGGCCCAACAUGUUGGGUCUUUGUUGGCCCAACAUCAGUAUGCCAACAAGGUUAACUAUUUGCCAACAAUCUGCCAACAAUGUCAACUAUUUGCCAACAGUCUACCAACGUCGUCUAGUUUUAAAAUUAUGUUGGACCAAUGUUGGUCGAAGAGCAGUAUGCCAACGAUGGUUUCAGUCUGUCAAACAUGUUUUUCAUGCUUUUCAUGUUAUGUAUUAAGAAAUAUUUAUCUUUAGUAUAUCAUGUAUAUUAUAUUGGCAGGUAAAUCUCGG
rnacentral:lncRNA from 1 species